AAUCUAUCAAUGAUGAUGCAUAGUUCAUUUGACUUAUGCAGAAUGAUAACUAAUUUAUACUAUCUUGAAAUUGGUCUUUCACCCCUAGCUGAGAAUAGACC